rnacentral:tRNA from 1 species
GCCGAAGUGGUGAAAUUGGUAUACACGCAGGCUUGAGGUGUCUGUGGCGAAAGUCGUGCCGGUUCGAGUCCGGCCUUCGGCA